GCCUAAGGACUCACAUUUUUGAUGAUGCAUUUGUUUUUACAAGAAUAUUGAGCUUCCAAGUAAAAUCUUUGUGAAAUCAGAGCAUAAGCUAUUAAGGUCACUAAAAUAAAUAUAAAAUACCUUUUAAUUAUAAACACUACGAUUAAAACGUAUGUGGAGAGAACCCCAAAAAAUUUUUUAAAACAUGUAAAAAAGGCAAAAAGAAAUCAAUCAUGUGUUUCUAAUGGUUAAUCACUAUUUUGUAAAAAGAAUCCCAAAAAUUAUCAAUAGAAAUUCACAAUAUUUCAAGAACACUCAAAGGUAUUUUCCCUCUGUAGAUUUUCAGAUACCACUGUCUACUGAUUGAGGGACUCCAACUUGAUCCAGCAAUCAAGCUAUGUAGACUAACAGAAACAGAAUUAAAGCAAUUAAGUGAGUCAAUUCAUCUCAUCACACUUUGGUUUUUGUGUGUACCUAAUAAAAAUGUUGCAACAGAAGAAGUAAUGCGGCGUUAAACCAAUCAGAGUUUGGGAAGAGUAGUAAUUAGCAUAAGAAACUGAAAAUUAAUUAAGUGGCUUUUAGGGCCAGGCGCGGUGGCUCACGCCUGUAAUCCUAGCACUUUAGGAGGCUGAGGUGAGUGGAUCAUUUGAGGACAGGAGUUCAAGACCAGCCAGGCCAACAUGAUGAAACACCGCCUCUACUAAAAAUACAAAAAUUAGCCGGGCCUGGUGGCAGGCGCCUGUAGUCCCAGCUACUCGGGAGGCUGAGACAGGAGAAUCGCUUGAACCCGGGAGGUGGAGGUUGCAGUGAGCCAAGAUCGUGCCUAGGCGAUCUGCACUCCAACCUGGGCGACAGAGCGAGACUCUGUCUCAAAAUAAUAAUAAUAAUAAGAAGAAGAAGAAGAAGAAGAAGAAGAAGUGGCUUUUUUUUCUUUUUUUUUCUUUUUUUUUUUUUUUGAGAAAUGGUCUUGCUCUGUUGCCAGGGAUGGAGUGCAGUCGUAUGAUCUAUUCACUGCAGCCUUGAACUCCUAGGCUCAAGCAAUCCUCCCACCUCAGCCUCCCCAGUAGCUGGGACUACAUGCCGGUGCCACUACAUCCAGCUCAUUUUCUUUUUUCUGUAGAGAUGGGGCCUCACUAUGUUUUGCCCAGGCUGGUCUCCAACUCCUCGCCCCAUGUUAAUCUCCAGCCUCCGUCUCCCAAACUGCUAGGAUUACAGGCGUGAGACACCACGCCAGGCCCAAGUGGCAUCAUAAACCACCUCUAGGAAAUCUAAAGUAUUAAUAAUGAUAUUCACUUCUCUAUCAGAUUGACUGCAAAGAUUUUUCUAUAUAAGCAUAAUGCAGCAACACUAACUUAUAUACACAAUAAUCUUCUCCAUAGCAAUGAUUUGUUAGACAUUAGGAAAUCCUUUACAUAUUUAAUAUAAUAAUCCAAUCCUUUAUAUCUUCAAUAAUCCAAUCACAAAGUUUAAAAAUAUUAAGAGAAGCUAUCAUGCAACUCCUCACCCCAAUUUUAUUACAAAUUUUACUUUACUUAACUUUGACCUGAUGUUCCAUGCCCACAAGCUAGAUAACAAUGCGUCAAAUAUCUCGUUAUCAUUGCAAAGCAAAAAAAUAAAACUAGCUUUAAUAUAAAACGGUAACUAGUAUACAACCUGUAGUAGUUAAAACAAUAUAAAAUUUUACUUAACCAGAUAUUACACGUUAAACUCUAGGAACAUUAACAGUGGAAACAUUCUCCGCAUCUAACAAAUUACGAGAUAAAGUAUAGAUCCGUUGAGAGAGGGAACUAACAUUCUGACCUCCUUCCAAAAUGACAAACUAGAACGGCAAAAUUACACUCAGGCACAUUGGAGUACUCUUCUCUCAAAUCACUCCACAGAGAACUUCAUCAUUUGCUCCGCCCUCUAAUAACUCAUGCAAGAAAAGUUCAGCACCAUCAGAGAGAAACAAGACAGAGAGAAUUCAUAGAAUAGCUUUAGGGCCUUUCCUCCAGGCGGUAAGAGGAUCUGCGUGUGCCCUUCGCAGGGGUCCAAAGGGAGAGAACAACCUAGGCCUAGGGUUUCGGGGAUACUGACACCCAGAAACAGAUUUUCUCUCAAAGAAGUUUCUGCCGCCAUCCCUAUCUUAUCAGCAGGAGGCCUCGGCGCCAUCGUCUCCGUCUUUAUGAUUUUAUUAUGGGGAGGUGGGAAACGCCACCCUGGAUUCCUCCAGGCCUCCCCUAUUCAGCUUGGGGGUUCCCCCUCAUUCUUCCCUCAAAGCGUCAGUCCCUGAGGUCCUCCUCAGCACCCCCCGCUGCUGGCGGCCUGUCCCCCGUGAAGUGUAAAGGCACUGCCGAACCCACCGGCCUCGCCGUGAAGGCGGGAGGGCCCGAACCCGCCAGGGCCACGGCAAUGGCUCCGAGGGGCCCAGAAAGGGGAAGGGCAGGCCGGGGACCGGGGCAGAAUGACCUGGCCGGGGAAGAAAGGAAAAAAGGAGGUGAGGAGAUGCACCGCACCGCAGGGCUGCACAGAGAAGGGAAGAUGAUGAAGGAGGAGGAGGAGGGCGGUGGCCCGGGUGCGGCCCCCCACUCCUCCCGCCCCCGGGUCCCCGGGCCGGCGGGGGCGGACGGACUCGGCCCAUUCCCAGGUCUGGGCUGGCGGGGGGUUGGGGGAUCUCCCUCCACACUACUAGGAGACAGAGAACGAGGGUAUCGGGAGCGGCGGGGGCUGUCUCCCGCCUGAACCCGGAGACCCCGACGCCGUCGUCGCCUCUUCCUCAGGAGGGAGGACGGGAGCUGUGGGUAAAGCCCGAAGGAGGAAUGCCUGAAGGUAAGGGGAAGCCCGGAGCAGACCCGCCGCCCGCUCCGGACCCCACUCUCCACCUUCCGGUAACCGCGUCUCUUACCGGUGAUGGUGGUGAACUGUUGAAUUAACCCCUUCAGCGCCGAAGACGCCGCGGAGCCCCCGUGGGCAGCCAUCUUACCGCCGCCGCCGCCGCCGAACAACAACACAGACACACACGGACUGCCCUCCCCCACCUCGCCGUGCGGUGUGCGCAGGCGCAUUGACCGCCCCUCAAGCCCCGCCCCUCCCGCCCCCAGCGGUCUGCGCAGGCGCAUUUUCCCACCGGGCCGGCGCGCUCCCCGCUCUCCGGUUGGCUGCUCGGUUGCUGCCUGCUCAGUGCAUCCUUUUUGCCAUUGCUGGUGCCUUCCUCCCCGGGCUCCCAGGCUAGCCUUGCAGGCGCGGUGUCGAUUCCUAGAUUCCGAAAGAAGCUUCGGUCUCGGCAGAUAGUUCUUCGCAUUUCAGCUUCGCAAGCUUUAUUGACAGAGCCAGCUGCCGAUGACAGCAUUUUUUCUGUUUUGCGGUUCCACCGCACUCUUAGGUUUCCUGCAGGUCACAUCAAAAUGCAAACCCUACCUCCUCGCUUUGAAGCGACUCUCCCCGUACUCGCCCCCCAGCCUCUAAACUAAUGGCUUAGCUAACCGAUUGUGGCGAGUGAAAUACCAGAACCGUUCAUGCCAAAGAAAGCACUUAGCGCGGGGUUGCCACCCAGUAGGUUUUCAUAAACGAUUGUUUAGUCUGCUUUUCUUAAAUAAAUUGGCCAUCACGUCU